CAAAGAAUAGUUUAGUUUUAGAAUCCUAGCUUUGGGAGUUAGGGGUGGGAGUUAAAAUCUCCUUUCUUUGA
rnacentral:tRNA from 1 species